CCCUUAGAUGUUCUGGGCUGCACGCGUGCUACACUGAUGCACUCAACGAGUUUACGACCUUGCCCGAUAGGGUUGGGUAAUCUUUUUAAAAUGCAUCGUGAUGGGGAUAGAUUAUUGCAAUUAUUAAUCUUCAACGAGGAAUUCCUAGUAAGCGCGAGUCAUCAGCUCGUGCUGAUUACGUCCCUGCCCUUUGUACACACCGCCCGUCGCUCCUACCGAUUGAGUGCUCAGGUGAAUAAUUCGGACUGCAGCAAUGUUUGGAUCCCGAACGUUGCAGCGGAAAGUUUAGUGAACCUUAUCACUUAGAGGAAGGAGAAGUCGUAACA
rnacentral:rRNA from 1 species